rnacentral:rRNA from 1 species
CUUUUGACCUCGGAUCAGGUAGGGAUACCCGCUGAACUUAAGCAUAUCAAUAAGCGGAGGAAAAGAAACCAACAGGGAUUGCCCUAGUAACGGCGAGUGAAGCGGCAACAGCUCAAAUUUGAAAUCUGGCUCUUUCAGAGUCCGAGUUGUAAUUUGCAGAGGGCGCUUUGGCGUUGGCAGCGGUCCAAGUUCUUUGGAACAGGACGUCACAGAGGGUGAGAAUCCCGUACGUGGUCGCUAGCCUUCGCCGUGUAAAGCCCCUUCGACGAGUCGAGUUGUUUGGGAAUGCAGCUCUAAAUGGGAGGUAAAUUUCUUCUAAAGCUAAAUACUGGCCAGAGACCGAUAGCGCACAAGUAGAGUGAUCGAAAGAUGAAAAGCACUUUGGAAAGAGAGUCAAAUAGCACGUGAAAUUGUUGAAAGGGAAGCGCUUGCAGCCAGACUUGCCUGUAGUUGCUUAUCCGGACUUUUGUCCGGUGCACUCUUCUGCGGGCAGGCCAGCAUCAGUUUGGGCGGUUGGAUAAAGGUCUCUGUCAUGUACCUCUCUUCGGGGAGGCCUUAUAGGGGAGACGACAUGCAACCAGCCUGGACUGAGGUCCGCGCAUCUGCUAGGAUGCUGGCGUAAUGGCUGUAAGCGGCCCGUCUUGAAACACGGACCAAGGAGUCUAACAUCUAUGCGAGUGUUUGGGUGUCAAGCCCAGACGCGUAAUGAAAGUGAACGGAGGUGGGAACCCUUUGGGUGCACCAUCGACCGAUCCUGAUGUCUUCGGAUGGAUUUGAGUAAGGGCAUGGCUGUUGGGACCCGAAAGAUGGUGAACUAUGCUUGAAUAGGGUGAAGCCAGAGGAAACUCUGGUGGA